UACGUAGGUGGCAAGCGUUGUCCGGGUUUACUGGGCGUAAAGAGCGCGCAGGCGGUCGUUCAAGUCGCGUGUGAAAGCCCCCGGCUCAACUGGGGAGGGUCACGCGAUACUGAUCGACUCGAAGGCAGGAGAGGGAAGUGGAAUUCCCGGUGUAGUGGUGAAAUGCGUAGAUAUCGGGAGGAACACCAGUGGCGAAGGCGACUUCCUGGCCUGUUCUUGACGCCGAGGCGCGAAAGCUAGGGGAGCAAACGGG
rnacentral:rRNA from 1 species